AGCGAACGCUGGCGGCAGGCCUAACACAUGCAAGUCGAACGGAUCCUUCGGGAUUAGUGGCGGACGGGUGAGUAACACGUGGGAACGUGCCCUUUGGUUCGGAACAACUCAGGGAAACUUGAGCUAAUACCGGAUGUGCCCUUCGGGGGAAAGAUUUAUCGCCAUUGGAGGCGGCCCGCGUCUGAUUAGCUAGUUGGUGAGGUAAAGGCUCACCAAGGCGACGAUCAGUAGCUGGUCUGAGAGGAUGAUCAGCCACAUUGGGACUGAGACACGGCCCAAACUCAUACGGGAGGCAGCAGUGGGGAAUUUUGCGCAAUGGGCGAAAGCCUGACGCAGCCAUGCCGCGUGAAUGAUGAAGGUCUCAGGAUUGUAAAAUUCUUUCACCGGGGACGAUAAUGACGGUACCCGGAGAAGAAGCCCCGGCUAACUUCGUGCCAGCCGCCGCCGUAACAC
rnacentral:rRNA from 1 species